AUGAGAAAACUGAGUGUGGUAACAGAAGGGGCCACCAAGCAAAAAUGCAAGGUACUGUGUGAUGCCAUUCAGAAGCUCUCUUCCCUCCGCUCCCUUUCAGUGGAUGGUUCACUCGAGUGGCUGCAUGAUGUUUCCUCUCCUCCUCCCCUGUUGAGGAGUCUGAACUUGAAUGGAUGCCUUGGAGAUAUUCCUGGCUGGUUUGGCAAUCUAAUGCAUUUGGUUAAGCUUUCCUUAGGGGGCAGCGUAAUAAAGGAAGAAGGCAAACUCAUGAAAAUACUUGGGCCACUACCCAACCUCAUGGACCUUUUUCUUGGAAGACACUCUUAUAUUGGGGAGAAGUUGGUGUUCAAAACGGGAGCAUUCCCAAAUCUCAAGAAACUUGGUAUUUGUGAGCUGGUGGAACUGAGAGAGUUGAAAUUUGAGGACGGCACCUCACCCCAGCUGUCAAUGAUUGAUAUCAGUUGGUGCAAUUUGGCAUCAGGAAUUAUUGGAGUCAACCAGCUUCCAAAGCUUAAGGAGAUCGCACUUGGGUACGGUGGUCGAGUGGCCAAGUUUGCUUUGCUGCAAAGUGAAGUGGGUGCACAUACCAACAGUCAUGUGCUGCGACUGUCCUAG
rnacentral:rRNA from 1 species